AAUGACCAAAAUUGAAAAAAAUGGAGUUUCUGCGUCCGACACACCAUGUGGUGCUGGCAUCACCAUAGAAGGCUCUAGAAGGAAGUGAGGAAGGACUUGGUGAAGUUUGGUUGCCAGGAAACUACACUAUAUCACAUUGCUGAGGAGAUUGGAGUAAUAGAAAUUUCAACUGGAAGCUGGGAGACCAGUUCGGAAGCUACUCAUCAAUUCAGAAAGACUUCACUACUUCAUGCAAUCUCAGUAGAACUGAUAUCAUGGGACAUCUUCUCCAGCUUGCAGACCUGGUCCAUCUGUAGCAGGAAAAGAAUGCAGCAAACACUGAAGGACAA